ensembl:lncRNA novel transcript, sense overlapping to MACC1
CAUCAUGUAGGCAUUGUAUCAUCUCACAUUGUCACAAGAAGGAAAAUCCUCAAUGCCUGAGAAAUGAGGGACAUUCCAAAGCCACGGAUUGAUCUGAAAUACAGGUCUUUGGAAAUCCUCCUCCAGAUUCCCCAGAGCAUGACAGUGACUUCACGUGGAUACAGAUUUUGCAGUUAUCAACUAACCCAUCAAUUAGCAUUUAUGGAGCACUAAUUGGUGUCAACCCAGGUACCAUAAGUAUCGCUUCUUGACCUGCACAACUUUCUGAUUUGAUGAGUUCAACAGAAACCAACUCAAGGGAGAAGAAUAAAGACAUUGUUGAACUUAGACUUUGACAAGAUAAGAAUAACAAUCUUGGAAUAUGCUGAAGAUGGCAGACUACAAAGUAGAAGGAGACAAAGUUUGUGAAAGACCAGGUGGAGGAAAGUCAUCCACUAAUCAGGAGCCCUUUUAUGGAAUCUACGUAAACAAGAAAUAAACAAAGGUUUAGUCCAUUAUACCUUUCAAGUCAACAGCAAAGCAGACAGCCUACUCUAAUUAAUGUAUCCAUUCUAAGGGAAAAUUAUAUUAAAUGUUAUAUUUUGAAA